rnacentral:tRNA from 1 species
CGAGAGAUACCCAAGUGGUCAAAGGGAGCGGACUGUAAAUCCGUCGUGUAAUGCUUCGAUAGUUCAAAUCUAUCUCUCUCGA